rnacentral:lncRNA from 1 species
AUGGUGUGUCUGCUGUACUCUGAUGGUAACUUCAGUGAAGAUCAGAGAUACCAGAGCCUUGUCAUUGCAGAUAUUCCUCUGGAAAAAAAAUAUAAAAAAAUCCUAAAUAACUCAAGAGAGACCAUGAUUUUAACUCAGUUUCCACUAAAGCCUUAUCCAUUCACUCCAGCACAACAUAGACUUCAAAACAACAGGUAAAUGAUCAUAAUUUAUAUUUAUAGAAUUUUGUGAAAUAUUAAAGAGGUGUGAAGAACAUUCAUGCAUCUUCACCUUGCUCGUUUGCUUAGGAAUGACAAGCUACACAGCUGCAGUAUAUCCUUGCUUAAAAUGGUGGAUGAUAACACUUCACUCUUGUAAAUAAUGUGCAGAAGUACUUUUGCUCAUCUGAGAGGAGCAAGACAACUUGCAUAUUCUGUUCAAAGUCAUAAGAUUUCUUUCUGUUAAAAAGAAACCCAACAAAACAGACAGAAAACAAAAAACAAUCAACCAAAAGCAAGAAAGAACAACAAACAAAACCCCAAAAACAAACAAACAAAACCUCAAAACCCCACCAAAAGGCCCCCAACUCUAUGCAUGGAACUGUACCUACAUGAAAUUCAGUAACUUUACUAAAAUUCGGUUGCUCUGGUUGUCUUAAUUUAGUAGAUUUUAUCUUAAAAUCAGUAAAGAUAUAACUGAUUUUGUUACUUGAUGCUGCUGGUCUUGUCUCUCUUCUAAGAUUUUAGAGUUACUGUGUUCAGAUAUGCAUAUUAUACUAAAUACUUUCUACAAUCUGCAAAAAUUUUGAAAAUAAAACUCACGCAGGAAUUUCUGGACCA